rnacentral:snoRNA from 1 species
GCCUUCCAGACUCCUCACCCUGCAGGUCUAACCAUUGGUCUAAGUGGCUAUAAAAAGAGGGAAAGUAAAACUGAAAUAGAUUUGGCUCUUUUGUGAUAUAAAAGUUUUGCACCCAAACCAACUCACU